AACGUAGGAGACAAACGUUAUCCGGAGUUACUGGGCGUAAAGGGCGUGUAGGUGGUUGUGUAAGUUCGGCGUGAAAUCUCUCGGCUUAACCGGGAGUGGUCGUCGGAUACUGCACGACUAGAGGACGGUAGAGGCGUGUGGAAUUCCGGGUGUAGUGGUGAAAUGCGCAGAUAUCAGGAGGAACACCGAUGGCGAAGGCAGGUCUCUGGGCAUUAACUGACGCUGAGGAGCGAAAGCAUGGGGAGCGAACAGG
rnacentral:rRNA from 1 species